GCUAAUUCCAUUCCGACGCGGCCU
rnacentral:siRNA from 1 species